rnacentral:rRNA from 1 species
CCUACGGGUGGCUGCAGUAGGGAAUAUUGCUCAAUGGGGGAAACCCUGACGCAGCAACGCCGCGUGGAGGAUGAAGGUUUUCGGAUUGUAAACUCCUUUUGUCAGAGAAGAGAAUGACGGUAGCUAACGAAUAAGCACCGGCUAACUCCGGGCCAGCAGCCGCGGUAAUACGGAGGGUGCAAGCGUUAGUCGGAACCACUGGGCGGAACGAGAGCGUAGGCGGGAUGGCAAGUCAGAUGUGAAAUCCGAUGGCUUAACCAUGGAACUGCAUUUGAAACUGUUAUUCUAGAGUAUGGGAGAGGUAGGUGGAAUUCUUGGUGUAGUGGUCAAAUCCGUAGAUAUCUGGAGGA